ACAAACAGAAUACUCAUCGACUUCAGCCAUUUUCUCAUUCCACAUUUCCACAGAUUUCAGAAACGAUUCCGCAGUCAUCGGAUCUUCAGAACACUAUGCCUUAGAUCGAUCGCGACGGCGGUGGAUCUCAUCAGCCGGCGAUCAAAGUCGUAGCUCUCUGGUUCUCUUCGCCGAAAUUUUCGCCACAGAGGCCUGAAUCGUGGUGCGACGGAGUGGAUCGAUGAACUGCAAAUUGAAUAUAAAGAUAUCUCGCCCUUGCCGAUGCGGAAUUCCGAUUUAGGUAAGUAUUUCUCCAGAGAAAGGAAUUAAUCAUAAUUUGGUAACAAUUAUGCAAUCAAUAAUAUUUUUAAUAUUUUGUU